rnacentral:lncRNA from 1 species
UCCUGCAGAUCCGCCGCGCAGCUCUCCACAAUGAGCGCGCGGUUUACCACAUCUCGGUAAGUCUGGAGGUUGGAGGACUGCACCAACCGAAAGAUCGACGGCCGAAGUCCUCGCUCGAAGAUGCGAACCUUAUUCUCGACGUCCCGCACAACAAAGAGCACACAGUGUAGAAGCCGAGAGAACUCUCUCUCGUACUCGGCCACGGUCCGAUCCCCCUGGCGCAUCUCGCGCAGAUCCUGCUCCAUCUUCCUCUUAACACUGACGGGGAAGUAGUGCUCCAAUAAGAGUUCCUUGAACCUCUUCCAAGAAAUUGCUGCUAGGUCGAUGUUGCGAUUAUCCUAUAUACCCAACCACCAGCUAUAGACCUCGCCGUCCAAAUGGUGAGUGGCGAGCCAAACUCUGUCUCUCUCCUUCACGAAGGUGUCGCGGAAUAACUUCUCCAUGUGCAUCAACCACUUCUCAACGAUCCAGUGGUCGGCUUUCUCUCCAUCAAAGAUCCUGGGAU